CAGAAACAGUUGCAGGUUAACAGCCUCAGGGGAAGACCUCAACCAGUGUGGGACAGGUGGGCAAAUGUUGAAUAUUUAAACUUUUAAUUGACAUUUCAAAUUAGAUUCUAAUUCCAUUUAAAAGAGCAUCUCAUAGAAGCAAAUGUACUCAAUUAUAUUAACUCUGUGGUUUCAUUUAAGCAAUUUAUUUUGUGAAGGGACACAAAUCCAACCAGAUUUUAACAGUGUAUAAAUAUAUAUUUAUUAAUUUAAUUACAAUGACAAUACUCUCAACUCACCAUUUGAAUAAACGAGAGCAUGUGAUCUGUGUUCUGGGACAGCGUGCACUAUAGGUGUGUGGAAAUAUCGAUGCCCUCAGCUGUGUGGCAGGCUCAGUGGGACCUGGAGUGCAGGAGUCCCUGGGCCAUUCACCUCUGGCCACAAAAGUCAUUGUUCAUUUACACCCAACUUCUAUAGAAAUAUUAUUUUCAGUGGUUGUUAUGAUGCAAAAGAAAAGAAGCAGGGAGAUAUAUUAAAAUUUUACAUGUAAGUUAUGUGAGUAAAUAAAGUCUACUUUCUUCUAGCUUAACUAAAAAUCUAUACUAGUAUUUAUGUCUUUUGGAAAUUAGAGAUGCCAUUUUAAAUAUUAUGAAGCAAAGCAACUGAUGAUUAGGUAAGACAGCCAAGUGCAACUGCAGAAUUGUAGAGGUUAUGUGUUACAUGUAUAAGAAUAUUUCAUAGCAAUAAUCUUUUAAGACUCUGUGAAGACACUCCACAGUGAAGCAGAAAUUAGAAGAGAAUUAAUAAUACUGUGUAUGCUCUCAGUUCACCAAUUUAUCAAAACUAGCUUUAUGAUUCAGGAGGGUGUCUGCUCUUUUGCAACUGGAAGAAAAGAAAGAAUAUUUUAUUUUUUGACUCUUUAGAUUUUCUUCACUAACAGUAUUUCCAAGGCUAAGUAAGGGAGUUGCAAGUAACACCAAGAGAAAAAAGCAGUCUUGAGCAGCUCUUUAAAAAUAGUCUUAAAAUAUGGAAAAUGAAGCCAGGUGUGGUGGCUCACUCUUGUGAUCCCAACACUUUGGGAGCCUGAGGUUG
rnacentral:lncRNA from 1 species